rnacentral:rRNA from 1 species
UGGGGAAUAUUGGACAAUGGACCGAAAGUCUGAUCCAGCAAUUCUGUGUGCACGAUGAAGUUUUUCGGAAUGUAAAGUGCUUUCAGUUGGGAAGAAAGAAAUGACGGUACCAACAGAAGAAGUGACGGCUAAAUACGUGCCAGCAGCCGCGGUAAUACGUAUGUCACGAGCGUUAUCCGGAUUUAUUGGGCGUAAAGCGCGUCUAGGUGGUUAUGUAAGUCUGAUGUGAAAAUGCAGGGCUCAACUCUGUAUUGCGUUGGAAACUGUAUAACUAGAGUACUGGAGAGGUAAGCGGAACUACAAGUGUAGAGGUGAAAUUCGUAGAUAUUUGUAGGAAUGCCGAUGGGGAAGCCAGCUUACUGGACAGAUACUGACGCUAAAGCGCGAAAGCGUGGGUAGCAAACAGGAUUAGAUACCCUGGUAGUCCACGCUGUAAACGAUGAUUACUAGGUGCUGGGGGUCGAACCUCAGCGCCCAAGCAAACGCGAUAAGUAAUCCGCCUGGGGAGUACGUACGCAAGUAUG